GCCGGGUGUGGUUGGUGCAGGCCUGUAAUCCCCACAGCUCGGGAGGCUGAGACAGGAGAAUCUCUCGUUCAAAGCCAGUCUUAACAACAGCGAGGCGCUAAACAGAUCAGAGAGACCCUGUCUCUA
rnacentral:sRNA from 1 species